GGCUGGAAUUCCCCCUUAGAGGUUGAUCCUGGCUCAGGACGAACGCUGGCGGGGCGCCUAACACAUGCAAGUCUGAACGGAGUCCCGAGGAGCUUGCUUUUCUUGACUUAGUGGCGAACGCGUGAGUGACGCGUGAUUAACCUGCCCUUGAGUGGGGGACAUCAGUUGGAAACGCAUAUGAAUACCGCAUAAGCCCUCGCAUCCGCAUGGAUCUGCGGGAAAAGGAUUUAUUUGCUUCAAGAUGAGGCUCGCGUCUAAUUAUGAUAGUUGGUGAGGUAUCGGCCCUCCAAGAGUAGGAUUUGUAGCCCGGGUGAGAGAUGUAACGCCCACAUUGGGAGUGUGACACGGCCCCCACUCUUAUGGGAGGCAGCACUGGGGGAUAUUUCACACUGGGGGAAACCCUGAUGCAGAGACGCCGCGUGGAGGAAGAAGAUCUUUUGAUUGUAAACUUCUUUUAUUAAGGAGGAAGAAAGUGACGGUACUUAAUGAAUAAGCUCCGGCUAACUACGUGCCAGCAGCCGCGGUAAUACGUAGGGAGCAAGCGUUGUCCGGAUUUACUGGGUGUAAAGGGUGCGUAGGCGGCUUUGCAAGUCAGAUGUGAAAUCUAUGGGCUCAACCCAUAGCCUGCAUUUGAAACUGCAGAUCUUGAGUGAAGUAGAGGCAGGCGGAAUUCCCCGUGUAGCGGUGAAAUGCAUAGAGAUGGGGAGGAACACCAGUGGCGAAGGCGGCCUGCUGGCCUUUAACUGACGCUGAGGCUCGAAAGCGUGGGUAGCAAACAGGAUUAGAUACCCUGGUAGUCCACCCUGUAAACGAUGAUU
rnacentral:rRNA from 1 species